GCGCCCGUAGCUCAGUUGGCAGAGCCGUGGGACGGCAUCCCACGGUGCCAGUUUCUAGUCCCGGCGGUCGCU